rnacentral:lncRNA from 1 species
CCAAAAACAUUAACUUUGGAUUAGUGAUUUAACACUUAUAAAAUAGGUAUGUUAAUACAAAUGGAAAGUAUUUAUUGAAAACUAAUUAAUUUUCAAAUAAAAGAACUAUUAAUAUAUUUUUAGUAUUAUUUUUCUAUUUUUACCUCCUUAUUAAUUGACAGAACACAGUCAAUUGUAAAUUUAAAUAAUUUUUUUUGUCAUAACAAAUAUAUAGAUUAAAUUAUUGAUAUUUGUUUCAAUAUGGAUCAUUGGCUUUUAGUCUUGAAAAAGUAACAAAUGUAGUUCCCGGAAGAAGAAGGAAAAAACAACAGACUGAAACAUUUUUUAGAUAUAAAAUUUGAUAGACAGUAACUAUUUAUAAUUUAAAAUAAAAGUAAUUAUAAAACAGAGUAAAUAAUACUGAACAAAAACAACUAAAUCACAAAAAUCCACAAUUCUUUUUAGAAUUUUAGUAAAUCCAUUGAGUUUAUAUUAUUAUUUGAAGAAGCUAAAUUAGCCCAUCCAAAUUAACACCAGAGAGAAUCGAACCGGAGAUCUCGAGGAGGAGCACACUUCCAGAUAAUAAAAAGUGGCAUGAAAUAUUUACUUCCAUAUCAUAAUAUAAAAAGUGGCAUGAAAUAUGCUUAUUUAUCUUUGUAUUAUUGAAUUAGGGGAUGCAAAAAAAUAAAAUUAAAAUACAUCUACAAAAAUAUUUGACAUGUUGUCAUACCACAAAAUGAGGAUCAACAACUCCCUUCUGAAUGUGGAUAGCACCCAACGCAGCAUCUCCCAAAACUACUCCCCCUGUUGCUCGAAGUUGAGAAGCUGAAUCACGCACCUAUAAUUUAAAAGUUAAAAAUAUUUUUAGGUUGAUAACUAUGUUAAUCAAGGAAAGUUGUUAAAAAAUAUACUAAUCGAAUUUAACAUUAUUCUUAUUACUAGAACGGAAGUAUCCUUAAAAAAAAACACAAGAAAUAAAGUAUUGGUUCUAUUUAUAAUUUGAACUGAACAAUUUUCCAACUAGUAAAAAUAUUUAACGAAUAUUAAUCAAGUCUCUUCUUCCAAUUGUGGAAUUUUUGUCUUCUAUAUCUCAAUUAUGUUAAUUGGGUCUCCUAGAUAUCACAAAUUGCAACAAUUAAUAUUGUGGCACUCCAUCCAUUAAUCAUCUAAUAUUUUAAGACAAGAGCAAACAUGACUCUAAGUUGAUGUUGAUUUAAGCUACAUAUUAAAAGUAUAACAUAGACCAAAUAAAUAUCUUAGCAACUUGAUGAAAGUAUUUGUGGGCAUCUGCUAUAUAAAUUAUUAGGAAUGAAAGACCUUAUUUGACCACAUUAACUUUUGAAGUUGGUGUUGAUUUUUUUUUUUGCGGUGUUCGAGGUUCAAACUCUAAAUCUUCCAUAUGUGCAUUGUUCUUACGAGUUAAACUCAUGGGAUAGUUGAUGCCAACUUUGAUUGGUGAUGUAGGCUCCUAGAGUUAAAAACGGUUGUAAAGAGUUUGAUGUGGCGAUUGAGAUAGAUGGAAGUUAAAAAUGUUUGUUAAGAAUUUGAUGUAGGCAUGUAGCGACUGAGAUACUUGGAAGAUUUAAUUUGCAACAAUAAAACAUGAGGAUCCAAAAUUUUAUGGAACUUUUUUUUUACACCUAUUAUAUAUACGUAUUAAAUAAAUAAUGAUACACAAGUACUGCCAUACGCAUAUAAGAAGUAACAUUACCUAAAAUAAAUCUUAAACUAACUUGCAAAUUCUCUUAAUAUAAUUAUAUGGAUCAUGUUAAUCAACUUAAAAUUUUAAAGUAAGAAAAUAAAAGUAAGUUUUCAUAAUUAUGUAACCAAAAGAAAAAAAGAUUUCAUAAUUAUUAAUGUCAAGAAAAUCAUUGACAUUACUGAAGAAUAAAAGGAAAAAAAAUUAAUUGAUGUAAGAUUAUACUUACCAGUCCAAAAACUUUUUCAGCGUGAGCUUGGAGUUGAGGACUAUCUUGUACUCCAGCUGAGUCCUUAAGAAAAGAGAACAAGCCUUUUGCCGCAGGUGCUUUCUCUAAUAUGCUAUUUUAAUAAAAUAAAAUAAAACAUAUUUUUGCUAAUUAAUUUACAUUUACAUUGUAUCUUUCUUAAAAAGACAAUAAACAUAAAGGACAAAAACAAAUAAAAAAUCUCACGAGAGAUAAAACUUACACAGUGUAGAAAAAAACACUAUAACCAGAAAGGUUUUGUUUGAAUGCCUCAUAUGAGCUAUUGACUAAAGCCUCCUGUUUAUCAGUGAAACUCAUAUUUCUCUCUUUUCUUGUUUUUGUUUUAUUAUUUG